rnacentral:rRNA from 1 species
AUUGAACGCUGGCGGCAUGCUUUACACAUGCAAGUCGAACGGUAACAGGUUAAGCUGACGAGUGGCGAACGGGUGAGUAAUGCAUCGGAACGUGCCCGGUCGUGGGGGAUAACGCAGCGAAAGCUGCGCUAAUACCGCAUACGAUCUGAGGAUGAAAGCGGGGGACCGUAAGGCCUCGCGCGAUCGGAGCGGCCGAUGUCAGAUUAGGUAGUUGGUGGGGUAAAGGCUCACCAAGCCAACGAUCUGUAGCUGGUCUGAGAGGACGACCAGCCACACUGGGACUGAGACACGGCCCAGACUCCUACGGGAGGCAGCAGUGGGAAAUUUUGGACAAUGGGCGAAAGCCUGAUCCAGCAAUGCCGCGUGCAGGAAGAAGGCCUUCGGGUUGUAAACUGCUUUUGUACGGAGCGAAAAGGUCUCCUCUAAUACAGGGGGCUCAUGACGGUACCGUAAGAAUAAGCACCGGCUAACUCCGUGCCAGCCGCCGCUGUAA